GACCCCCGUGACGGGUACCCACGGGUACCCGGGCCCUCACCGCCACCAGGAGGAGAGGGCUGGUUGCCCUAACCCGCCAUCCCAGCGGAGAUCUUCAGGACACUUUUCUCCCAUUGCAGAGAGCAUUUCUCACAGGCAGCUCGUUCCGCCCGCUCCAACCCUGGGCAGGAAGCCGGCGGCUGAUCUGACCCUGCUUCAGAGCGGCUCGAUUGCUCUCUCGUGAAGGACCCAAGUGUUGUUCCUGUGCCUGGUAGACGUUCAGGAAAAGCUCAGCCCCCACCAAAGACAAACCCUGCCCCUGCCCCUCACGCUCUGGUUUGGAGGGAAGAUGCCUGGUUCCUCGUCAAGAUGCAGAGUUUCCACAUCCCGUUUCUUCCUGCUCCUUUCCAUAAACUUUGACUUAUUGGGUGCAAACGGUCGUGUGUAAAACCUCCAAACACAUCUGACUUGGAGUCAAAUCCACGAGCAGCUCCGGGAUCCCGGACUUUGCCAUCGUUGGUUCCUGCAUAUUUGAGCAUCUGACACGAGUUUCCAGGGUGCCUUUGCUAAGUCAGUAGGAACGGUUCUGUCCGGUGGCUUAACGUCCAAUGAAAGGCAGCCGUUCCCACCGCAGCUCCUUUGGGUCUGUUUCGGAUCAGGAAAUGCUGUGCUGUUUCAAAUGAAACUAUUUCUACUGUGGGCCCAGAAAAACUCUGCCUCUUGCUUUUUCUUUGGGAUCGUUUGGUCUCUGAUUCCAGUCCUGUUCUGUAGCAGGCAAUUCACUUCUCUGCUUGCCAGCAGUUUUUUGUGGUUUUUUUCCCUGUCCAAAAUCCAUUUAAAGAACACGUAAAUGUCCCAGGUCUGUGCAAACCUGGCAAAAUCCUGUUUUAAAGGAACCAUGUUUGGGUCCUCUGACAGUCCUUCCUGGCAUCCUUGAUAAGGGAGAUUUUCAUGCCUCACUUAUUUCUCAGAAUGUUGAUUUUCAACCACACUGAAAUCGCAGUUACUCUUUGUGAAGUAACUUUAUGAGUCAACACUGUAACUUUAAAAUCCCAACAUCUCUCUCCCUGGUCACCAAAGUCCUUUUGUACUAUUUGCCCCUAAAUCAGGGUCAUUAACAGAAAACCUGGUGGUCUAGCCAGGAAGAGCCUGGGUGCCAGGACCUCUGAUGGAGCAGCGUGGCCACAGGUAACAGACCUCAACCUCACCUGACCUGUGAGACAAAGGAUGUACCACCUCACUUCUUACCAUAAAGGGUUAAGUAUCUAGUUUUUAUUCAACUCACUGUUAUGGCUAAUCAAUAAUUGAAAGAUUUCUGGAAUGUCUCCUGUGGAUGGUUCUUCACCAUGGUGUGGAUUUGCGUGUGAUGAAGAACCGUAGUUUAAAUUGAUUUACGUUCCUCUAAAAAACAAGUUAAGGACUAUCCUCCGCCUAUUUCAGAAAGUGCUUUGACACUGGACCCGAGAGUCCUGGCAGAGCUUUCUGGAACGGUCAAGCUUCUUCCUACAUCAUUGCAACAGUGGACUUCAAAAACCAGGAAAAUAUUUUCUAAAACGUCUGACCUUCAGCCUCUCCUGGCAGUACUCUUUGUACCUCAAAACAUCUCUUAAAACUCUGGGCCAUCCUCACGGCACAAAUAUUUUUUGGAAACUUCUGCACAGUUAGAUGCUGAGCAAUUACUCUAUAACUGCACCAGAUCAUUCAUGCGCCUCCUGCAGGGAUGGACCAGGGGCAAGUUAACCGCCAGAUGUCCAAAACAUUCAUCUAGCUGUCCUGGCAUUCAGGUGGCCUCACCAUAACCGGGCUCCCCGACCUUGUUGACCUUCUGUGGACUCAGCUCUCUCUCCCACCUUUGUCUGUGGCGUGUCUAUUUCCCUACAUCGAUAUUGGUCCCUUGAGUCCCCAGGACUUGCUAAAAUCAGUUGAAGGAAACGCUUGAGAGGUUUCCUUUUUCUAAGAACGUGUUUGGAAAGUUAUUGGGUCAGGAGCGUGGGGACUGAGAACCUUGGCGAGCAGGUCUCGAGGCCCCGCUCACAGGUCCCCCUGCAGCCUGGGAGGAAGAUGCCUUUCAUCCUGUGACCUGCUGCAACUCCUCUCCUGGCUCUGCUCUGCCCGGCAAACUCCAGUGUACCCUGUAUAACCCAGAUAAAGCAUCUGGCCUAGGAAGGCUGUGUGCGGUGCCAUCGGCAGCCUCAUUUUCAUCAUUCCACACUGCCUCAUCUUUCGUUCGUUUAGAACAACAGAGGAGAGAGUGUGAGCUUCCGAUGGGCCAGGAUUGGGACAUUUGUUUCUAUAUUUCAAUAUUUGCUGAAUUCACAUCAGCUUUCCUGAAAACGCCCAAAAUAAUAAAGGGCCUCCAUACACAGGCUCACAUGGGCCUCUUUGCAGCAAACAAAUCAGGCCCGUGGUCCCUCUGGGCAGCUCAGUUAUCAGGGCUCUGCGCUGAGAUGCAACUUGCAGACAACUUGAAUUAAGCAAAGCAGAAGGGCCUGCCCUGCCAGAUGGCCACACGAGGACUUGUAAUCACGCUUCCUGCAUUACCUGGAGGAAGCCCAGGGGUGUAGCAUCUGCAGGUACGGACGCUGAAAAGGAGGCUACAGGGGUCAGCGGGGCCGCUCUGGGGAUGGUCCUCCGGCUCUUCCCCAGGGACGGAGGGCGGUUCCUCCUGACCUGCUUCUGCCCACACCCCCUACUGGCCUUAUUCGUGUCUCUAAAUAACACUUGGGGCAUUUUGAUUCCUCUUAAACGCUUUCAGCAAACUCCAUCUAUACAAAUGGGAACAUACAAAACAAAUUCUCCCUCCCACAGAAAUCAGCCAGGUUCCCUCCUCCAUAACUGUAGCAGCCUGGGUUGCAGACCGUCUGUGGGAGCGUCUUCUUGAAAUCAGUGGCCUAUUUACCAGCAACGACUCUGCUGGAGCUUUGGAGAGGGGCCCCAACCCUCGAGGAGCGCCUUUGACGGGCCGGCCAGGGACACAGCCCAGGGAGGAGCACACUGUUCACCUCCAUCCAGCAGACUGUUUUCAGGCAGAAUCACUCAGAAAGAAAACCGCUGUAUUUUCUUCAUUCACUGUAACAGGGAAGAGCUAAAUGGGACUCCGGGUUGGAUCUGUUUCUUUGACUUUAACCUUUGCUUUUCGUUGCUUUUGUUAUUAUAAUCAUACGUAAUGGCCUCCUUGCCUCAGCACCUAGUCUCCGAUUCAUGGGCCUGUCGUGUGGCUCAUCUUACUGCUGUAUAAUCAUCCCCAAAGGUGGACCAGAGUGAUAAACUGGUACUUCCCUUGGCCGUGGCCAGCCACACCUGGCCAGAGGCGAGCACGGGGGCCCAGCAGGUGGUCUGAGAGCCCUUCCUGACUGGGACUGGGGCCAGCACCGUUCACUGGCAGAGUGACAGCCUGUGCUUACGAGACGGACGCCCUCCACAGCCAGCUGGGGCUGCAGGGGGAAGUGGCUUAUUCUGGACAGAUCUCUCUUGCUCACAGGCACGGGGCGCACACAGGGGACACGUCUGUUUGCUGGAGCAGAGCCGAUCAGGCGGAGAGUCUACGGAUGUCAACUUGACAUCCCUGGUUCAUUAUCACCGUUACAACAAAUGUUACAACAAACGUGUUUGUUUGUUUGUUUGUUUUUGACUGCUGAUGUGGAGGAAUGUUUUGUGGAGAAAGGUGAGGUGGGUGUGGAUUUGAUACGGAACAGGUGUGGGCUCCUGGGCACGAAAGCCUUUCUGUGUCCCCCAUUUCUUCAUUACAGGAAAUAGGCUUCAUUCAGCCUCCAGGACCUUCCCUGAGUUCCAAAGGGCAGGUUCAAACAGUUGCUAAUCAGGGAAGGGAGGGGAUGCAGAGACAAGGGAGGAGCAGUCAGGACACAACAGCGCAGCCUUGGGGCAGGUCCUGGUUCCCCUCAAGGGAUGCACACGACAAUAUCCUUGAGCUGUUUUGCAGGUACUGAAACCCCCUCCAGGCGGGAGAAGUUUACUGUCUGCUGCUCACAAGCAUGGAGACCCCAGACCGGUUGGAACCAGAAGGUUGAUGAUGCCGACUCCCGAUGACCUCACCACCAGCCAAUCAGAAGAGUGUCCACAAACUGACCACACCCUCUUUGAACCAUUUCUAUGAAACUCCUCAGGACCCCCUGCAGGGUGGGACACACAGUCUUGAGGGCAUUAGCCCGCUGUGGCCCCUUUUGCCUGGCAAAGCAAUAAAGCUAUUUUUUACUACU